rnacentral:tRNA from 1 species
GAGGGUAUAGCUCAGUGGUAGAGUGUGUGCAUAGCAUGCACAAGGUCCUGGGUUCAAUCCCCAGGACCCCCA